UAGAUGCGAGAGUAGAGCAUAUCAAUAAGCGGAGGAAAAGAAACUAACAAGGAUUCCCUUAGUAACGGCGAGUGAAGCGGGAAGAGCUCAAAUUUGAAAUCUUCAAGGUUCUACCUUGACGAAUUGUAGUUUAAAGAAGUGUUUUCUGUUAGAUGAGUAGCAAAAGUUCCUUGGAAUGGGACAUCAUAGAGGGUGAGAAUCCCGUAUUUGGUUAUUCAUUCUAGCUUUGUGAUACACUUUCAAAGAGUCGGAUUGUUUGGGAAUGCAGUCCAAAAUGGGUGGUAAAUUUCAUCUAAAGCUAAAUAUUGGCGAGAGACCGAUAGCGAACAAGUACCGUGAGGGAAAGAUGAAAAGAACUUUGAAAAGAGAGUUAAACAGUACGUGAAAUUGUCAAAAGGGAAGCGUUUGACACCAGUGUUGUUUUUCCGAAAAUCAAUUACGAAUGGCUUGAUUUUGUGUUGUAUUGACCUUAAUCAGCUUUCUUCACUUUUUUCGAGUCUUUCUUAAUGCACUUUUCGGUUAACAAGUCAACAUCAAUUUCUUUUGUUGUAAAAGAGUAUUCGGAAGGUGGCUUUCUUUUCGGAGAAAGUGUUUAUAGCCCUAUACUUCUACAAUCGGAGAGAUUGAGGUCUGCAGCGUAGAUCCUUCGGGGUUAGAUACACUUGUGCUAAGUUGUAGCUUUUCAUAGACAACUUGUUGACUAUGUUUAGUCAUGCGGCUUACUCGCUUGUGCUAUUUUACCUACGCUUAGGAUGUUGAGCGCAUGUCUCUCUCU
rnacentral:rRNA from 1 species